UCGUAGUCGUCAGUCAGCCAGUCAGUAAAGACACGGCGGUGGUGAGUAAGUGGUGUGUUGUGUGGACAAAAAAAAAAAGUAAAAAGAACUAAAAAGAGAAAAGACUCGACUCGAGAGGUAAUAUAAUGGUAGGAUCUUUUGGGGGCACGAUUCAUUCGGCGAGUCUCCUCCGCUUUUUCUUACUUUUUUUAUUUUUCGUUGUGGCUAGAGCAUGCACCGCGAAGUUAACUUUGUAUCGUCGCACGCUGCAACGCGCCAACGCCAACUCGACAACGACACCAUCGCCAGACGUCUUAAUUAACGCGCAAGACGACGCGCAAGAAUAAGAAGAGUAGCUAGCGGUGUAUACACGAGGUAGACUGGAUCGAAGAACGAGAGAAGAGUCGAGGAAGCGAGAAUGAGUUACCGAGGCGGAGGUGGUGGUGGCAGGCGAGGCCGAGACGACGAGGACGAGUACGAGGACGACUACGACAGGCGCGAUCGUAGCCGCGACCGUGGCCGGGAUCGCAGCGGUGGACGCGAUGGCAGCGGCGAUCGGGGCUACAACGAUCGUCGCGACCGUAGCGGUGAUCGGGGCGAUCGCGAUCGUGGCCGCGACAGGAGCGGUGGACGUGGUGGCGGCAGCGGCCAAGGGGGCGGAGGCCUGCAGCGACUCGACAGCAUGCAGGACCCCGGGAAAAAGUUCAGCCUCAAGGAGUGCAUAGGCCAGGGCGUGUGCGGCGACGUCUGGGAGGCCUACGACGAGGAGGCCAGUCGCAAGGUCGCCGUCAAGAUACAGAAGCUCACGCCCGAGACGCAGCCACUGAUCGUCGAGGAGUACCGAGUGCUGCGCGACUUCUCCAAUCACCCGAACCUGCCGGACUUUUACGGCGUCUAUCGGCGACGCUCCGGCAAGAAGACCGAGUACGAUCAGAUAUGGUUCGUCAUGGAGCUGUGCGAGGGCGGCCCUGUCAUUGAUCUCGUCAGAGGCUUAAAAAUCAGCGACAAAAGAAUGAGGGAAGAGCACACUGCUUACAUAUUGAGAGAAACCAUUAAGGCGGUCAUGCAUCUGCACGAGAACAACGUGCUUCACCGCGACAUACGCGCCAGCAACAUCAUGCUGACGAAGGAGGGCGAGGUGAAGCUCGUGGAUUUCGGCUUGGCGCGAGCCAUCAAGGGCGAGCUCGGCAAACGCUUCACUUGCAUCGGCUCGCCCAACUGGAUGGCGCCCGAGACGGUGAUGAGCAAGAGCGAGCAGAGCGCCGGUUACGGGAGUCGCGCCGACGUUUGGGCCAUCGGGAUCACCGCCAUCGAGCUGGCCGACGGCGAUCCGCCCUUUCAGGAUAUGCACCCCACCAGGGCUCUGUUUCAGAUCGUGAGGAAUCCACCGCCCACGGUUUACAGGCCUGCCAACUGGGGACAGCCUUUCAACGAUUUCAUCGCUGAAUGCUUGGAAAAGAAUCCGGAUAAUCGACCAUUCAUGGCGGAGAUAGUCGAACAUCCAUUUCUGUCGGAAGGAUUACCGGAAAAUGACUUUCCACUUACGCAAGAGAUCAAGAGUUUGGUAAUGAACUUCAGUGCCAAGGGGAAAAAACACCGAAAACCCGAGUCGAUUGUACGCAAGGGAUACCUAAAAACUCAUCAGACUCAGAUUCCUGAGCGUAUGUAUCAGGAAGAUCUGGCAGGGCUGGAACAAUUGACCGAGGAUCGAGUUCUGGAUGAAUUGCAAGAGAGGCAGCGUCUUGGGCAUUUUCAUACCUUCGUCGGCGACGUAUUGCUCAUCAUGAAUCCGAACGAGGAGCAAGAUAUUUACGGACUACAAUACCACUGCAAGUAUCAAAAUAAAUCUCGCUCGGACAAUUCGCCCCACAUCUACUCGGUCGCCGAUAGCGCGUACCAAGACGUGCUGCAUCACGAGGAGCCUCAGCACAUCCUGUUCGCAGGCGAGAGCAAUUCCGGCAAGACCACCAACAUGAUGCAUCUCGUUCAGCACUUGAUGUACCUGGGCAAGAGCAUGAAGGACAUCGGAGCCAGACUCAUCAAGGCCAUCAAGCUGCUGCAGGCCUUCACCAACGCCGCGACACCCUUGAAUACCAAUUCCACCAGGUGCGUCUUCCAGAUCCAGACCACUUACGGAUCGACGGGCAAAGCCUCGGGCGGCAUAUUCUGGGUCUAUCAGCUGGAGAAGUUCCGCGUCUCGACCAGAGACAGGAACCAGUCCAACUUCCACAUGUUCUACUACUUUUACGACGGUCUCGAGGCGUCGGGCAAUCUGCGCCAGUAUCUGCUGCCCCAGGGUCGUCGCAUGCGCUACCUGCGAGUCUUCGACUCGGACUCGAUGGGCGGCCGCAAGCGCUCCUUCAAGGUCCGCAACGAUCCGCACGGCAACGCCAAGAAGUUCGAGUUCAUCAAGGACUGCAUCCGCGCCCUCGAGCUCGAGGAGCACUUCGAGACCAUCUGGCGGGUGUUGGCUGCCAUACUCAAUCUCGGAGACGUGCGAUUCAUCGAGGGCAACGGCGGAGAGGCCGAGGUUCACAACAUCGAGACGGCCAAGAGCGUCGCCGAACUCUUGAAUCUCGAUAUCAAAAAGUUUACCUGGUCUCUGUGCAAUUACUGCGUGAUUAAAAAGGGUCAGGCGGUCAGGCGCCGUCACACUUGCGAAGAGGCCAAAGAGACCAGAGAUGCUCUAGCCAAUACCAUUUACCAGAGACUCGUCGACUGGAUCGUUAACAACAUAAACGAGAAGCUCAGCGUGUCUCGAACACUAUUUGGAGACAAAUUCUUGAUUAGUAUUCUGGACUUGUUCGGUUUCGAAUGUUUCUCAAAGAAUCGUCUCGAGCAACUUGCAGUCAAUACCAUGAACGAGCAGCUCCAGUGCCACUACAAUCAGCGAAUCUUUGUUUGGGAAAUGCAAGAACAAGAGGAGGAGGAGAUCCCAAUCGAGCGAUUCCACUACUACGACAACAAAGCGGCGAUCGACCAGUUGAUGGGCAAGGAGGACGGUCUGUUCUACAUCUUGGACGAGGCAUCUCGUCAACUCCAGCAGACCAAUUACAUCUUCGAGCGGAUAAAUAAUCGAAGAGUCGGCCACGGCACCAAUCUCCACGUCAAGGUAGCCGGUGAAAAAGAGUUCAGCGUGGCCCAUUACACCGGCAAACUGACCUACGACGCCAACGACAUCGUCGAGAAGAAUCGAGACUUCGUCUCGCCGGAAAUGAUCGAGACUCUGAGGCAGUCGACCGAUCGAUUGGUCAACCAGUUGUUCACCAACAAGCUCACCAAAGGCGGCGCUCUUACCAUCCAUUCGGACGAGAGCCUCAAGGCCAAGGAUAAGCAGCCGAAAAAAACGACCGCCCGCAGCAAGUGGGGCGCGGCACUGCUGCAGUCCGAGCAGACCACCAAUCUGCGCAAAUACAAUACCGCUUCGAGAGGUCAGUACUCGCAAACGCGCAAGAUGAGAACUUACGCCGCUACAUUCCGUGCCUCGAGCCUUGAGAUCUUGAAAAAUCUCUCUGUCGGUGCUAUCAACGGUGGUACACAUUUUGUCAGGUGCAUUAGGUCUGAUUUGGAGGGUCAGCCUAGAGGCUUCUAUCGAGAAGUCGUGAGACAGCAAAUUCGUGCUCUGGGCAUUGUCGACACGGCUAGAGCUAGAAUGAGAGGAUACUCGUCGAGAAUUCCGUUCCAAGAAUUUUUAAGAAGAUACAAGUUCUUGGCCUUUGAUUUCGACGAGAACGUCGAGAUGACCCAGGAUAACUGUCGCCUUCUGCUGGUUAGAUUGAAGAUGGAAGGCUGGGUCAUCGGUAAAACCAAAGUAUUCCUCAGGUACUACAACGAGGAAUAUCUGUCGAGGCUUUACGAGACCCAAGUGAAGAAAAUCGUCAAAGUCCAAUGCAUGAUGAGGGCGUUCUUGGCUCGCAAGACCGUCGCGAUGAAAACCACGAAGAACAAGUUCGCCGCUCGUAACGAGCAGAGGGAAGCUGUGAAGAAAGGACCAAUCAGAGAAGAUACCACGAAGAAGUCCGAGUCCAUAAAGAGGCAAGCUACCUUGCAGAGGCUAGCGAGUCGCGAAAUGUCUCAAGACGAAGCAGCAGUAGUUUUGCAGAAAGCUUACCGCGGCCGACAAGCUCGCAAAGAAGUAGGUCCCCUUCUCAGCAAGGAUCUGAAUCUGGAUCCGGAAACGGAAGACAUGAUGAGGUAUUUUUGCAACAAGUGGCGGUCGAAAAGCAUAUACCAAGUCCUCCUACAUUACCGGGCAGCCCGGUAUCACGACCUCGUCCAGUUUUCUCAGCAAGUCCAUCUAUACAAUCAGGCUGUAGUGGGAGCUUUGCAGAUGAGCAAUGAGCGCGUACCACUGGAACGAAUUGACCACAAUGACGACAAUCCUGAAGCAUUCUUAGGACCCCGAAAACCACCAACAGUUCAUAAAAUACCAUUCGACAUACACAGCGAACUGCCAUUCUAUGACACUACACACAUGACAGAUCCGAAGAGUCGUCCACGUAGAAGACAAGGAUCCGUAACGUCAUCGGCGUCCGACGAAGAUCAGGAGAAUUGGGACGAGCCAUUGAGAAGGCAAACGAUUUGGGGCAAUAUUCGAAGAAACAAGAGAGGGACCCAAAUGUCCCAGUCCGCUGCCAUCCACACGAAGCCCAAGCCCAGUCCAGAGGAAUCUCCGGUUUUCAGGGCCGACCGCCUACAAGCGCUGAGAGCCACAGCUUACCCAGCAGACAGUUCAACGCUCAUACUCCUCGCUCAAAUAACUACGAUAGUAAAGGCUCGCUACGUUCUAGGAAAAAAGUACCACCACCCCCUCCACCAAGUAUGCCAAUGCAAUCGCGUAGUAAUUUCAAUGACAAUCGUGGUAUGAAUGGCUGGGCUUCGAACGACGACAGGAAGAAUAAAAACACGUUCAACAAUGAUCGGGCCAAUCCGAUCCAUGAACUGCAGAUGCUCGGACGAAGGAACAACAACAACGACAACGACGACGAGCCGCCUUUCAAUUUCCAG
rnacentral:misc_RNA from 1 species